GGAUAACAUGCCCUUAGGAGGGGGAUAAUCUCGAGAAAUUGAGGAUAAUACCCCAUAGGCCAUGAAUGCUGGAAUGCUUUAUGGCCCAAAGCUCCGGCGCCCAAGGAUUGGUCUGCGGCCUAUCAGGUUGUAGUGGGUGUAACGGACCCACUAGCCUAUGACGGGUAUGGGCCUUGAGAGAGGGAGCCCAGAGAUGGACUCUGAGACACGAGUCCAGGCCCUACGGGGCGCAGCAGUCGCGAAACCUUCACACUGGGGGAAACCCUGAUGAGGGAAUUCCUAGUGCCUGCAUUUUUUGUAGGCUUUUAUCUAGUGUAGAUAGCUAGAAGAAUAAGGGCCGGGUAAGACGGGUGCCAGCCGCCGCGGUAAUACCCGCGGCCCAAGUGGUGGUCGAUAUUAUUGAGUCUAAAACGUCCGUAGCCGGUUCAGUAAAUCUUUGGGUAAAUCGGCCAGCUUAACUGACCGAAUUCCGAAGAGACUGCUGAACUUGGGACCGGGAGAGGCCAGAGGUACUUCUGGGGUAGGGGUAAAAUCCUGUAAUCCUAGAAGGACCACCGGUGGCGAAGGCGUCUGGCUAGAACGGAUCCGACGGUGAGGGACGAAGCCCUGGGGCGCAAACGGGAUUAGAUACCCCGGUAGUCCAGGGUGUAAACGCUGCAGGCUUGGUGUUGGGGGUCCUUCGGGGGCGCCCAGUGCCGGAGAGAAGUUGUUAAGCCUGCUACUUGGGGAGUACGUCCGCAAGGAUGAAACU
rnacentral:rRNA from 1 species